rnacentral:misc_RNA from 1 species
UGCCAAAAAUUUCGCGUUACUAGGUCAGUAGAUCUCAUUUGCAAGCACAAUUUCAGUCUGUGUUUUCAGACGUAGCCGUUUACCAUUAUUCGGAAAUGCCGAAAUAACUUUUUGUUUUCCCGACUCGGACACCAGUCGACCGGGGAGCCAGCAACUGCACGUGUGCCGGUGAUGUUUUGUGGUAAUUAUUACUUUCCUGUCCAAAAUUGACGAGACUAAAGCGAUUCCCACAUGCACAUUUAUUGAUAGGAGCAAUUUAUGACUGUGCCAGACCGCACUAAACUUUUGGUUUUCAGAAGAAAGUGAGUUCCUAACAAGCUCUUGAGGUGACGUUGCGCUCGGCUGGGUCAAGUUUUUCAUUCAUUCUCGCUUUCGCUCCAGCUAUCUCUGAUAUCUGUCGCGACCGCGCCUCCGCAGACGUAACAAGGAUGUUUCGAUGCAAGCCUGCGCUUAUCUUUCCAGCUAUGCAUGAAAUCGGACCGCAACCUCGUUUAUCGUAAAGAGAUCCUGGGGGCUCGCCGCUGCUAUAUAUACCGUCCCCGUGUCCAUAUAGCGGCUUAUGCGUCGCGGAGUCUGACGAACUGAAUAAUUGGAGCACCUGUCUGUGCUCGACACAGCCGAUCGCCUUGUCUUCCUUUCCGCAAACGCUCGCACUUCUUUGUGGCUGCGGGUGGUUGUUAGGCACAGCAGCAACACCCUCAGCAGGCGGUGAGCAAGGGACUCGGCAGCGAGAUCACGCGUGGGAAAUAGCUUUAGGUGCGGGCCGCUGAAGGUUACCACUGCCUUGAGCCUCAGCGGCACGCAGCAUGGAAUUUUUGCUUGGCGGACUGGCCGCGUGUGGUGCUGGCUUUUUCACCAAUCCUUUGGAAGUGGUCAAGACACGUAUUCAGUUGCAGGGCGAGCUGCAGGCUCGCGGACACUACACAGUUCACUACCGCAAUGUGUUUCACGCGUUCUACGCCAUCGGCAAGCACGACGGCCUCCGGGCGCUGCAGAGCGGCCUGUCGCCGGCACUGUGGUACCAGUUCUUUAUGAAUGGCACCCGCCUGGGCGCCUACCACAUCAUGGAAGACCUGCAACUCACCAAGAACAAGAACGGCAGCAUCAACGUGCCCUGCAGCAUCGCGGCUGGCGCCGUGGCCGGCUGCGUCGGCGCCUUCGUGGGGAGUCCCCUCUACCUGGUCAAGGUGCAGCUGCAGGCACAGUCAGCAACGUCCAUAGCUGUGGGCUACCAACACAACCAUGAGGGUAUGCUGGCGGCAUUUCUGCGCAUCUACCGCAGAGACCACCUACGUGGCCUGUGGCGAGGUGUGAAUGCUGCCUUGCUUCGAGUCUCCUCUGGCUCAGCGGUACAGCUGACCACAUUCUCCAAGAUCAGGUCUCAGAUCAACCACAUCGCUCAGGCGUGCAGACAUGAAGGUGUUUGCUCGAACCCUGGCUCAGCCACCCAAUGGAAGGGGACACAUCAUUCCUCAAGGUGUGAUUCCCAUGCCUGCAGCUCCUGUCUGCGGCCGGUGCAGCGUGCGGUGCCAGAGGGCCCCCUUCGGCACUGUGGAAGAUAUUUCGAGAGCGGUCCUGGCUUGAAGCACUCGUGGCCAGUUCAGCAAGUGGGUUGGUGGUUGUUGCCACCAUGACUCCGUUUGACGUCUGCUGCACGCGUCUGUACAACCAGCCUACAGAUGCUACUGGCAAAGGCCUCAUGUAUAAAAACGUGUUUGACUGCUUUGCAAAGGUGUUCAAGACAGAAGGACCUUUGGGUUUCUACAAGGGCGUGACAGCCAGCUUCCUCAGGCUUGGCCCCCACACUGUGCUGAGUCUCGUCUUCUGGUCGGAACUGCGGCGAGAGUAUGCACUCUUCUCACAGCCCAGUGUCGAGGCUGC